GCCGAAGUAGCUCAGCUGGUAGAGCUACUGAUUUGUAAUCAGUAGGUCGGGGGUUCGAUUCCCUCCUUCGGCU
rnacentral:tRNA from 1 species